rnacentral:lncRNA from 1 species
UCAUUAAAAUGGUCAGCAGGAAUAUUACUUAUCUUAAGCAACUCCAGAGUCAUGGAUCCUUGAGGGAAAGGCAGGAGACAUGAGGAUAAAAGGAGGCCAGGGGUGAGCCCGAAACGUAAUGAAAAAAAGAUACUAAACAGAAUAUCGUUUAGUAUAAUCUCUCUAGGCAGUCAAAGGAACUGGGGACUUAAUGGAAACAAGUGCUUGUUUUCUGAUCCGACAGAAAUACUAGCUGGAAAUCAGAUGCUUCCUGAAGUUUUGACCUUAGUUAACAGUAAUGGUUCCCCUGUGCUUACCAAAUGGCAGUUCUCAUAUGAGCUUCAUUUGGAUAACAGCUUUUCAACUACCCAGAAUGGGAUAGGAAAUGAGAACAUUGCCUUAUCAUCAGAUGGACCUUCAGAUUCAAGGUGUCCUACCUGCUUUGAAAGAAAACUGAAUUUGCCUUUCCUAAAUCCUUGCUUCCAUAGAUACUGUUUUACUUGUAUCUUAGAAUGGUCAGACAGAAAAGCAGAGUGUCCACUCUGUAAAAAGCAUUUUCACUCUUUCACACUAUAAGAUCUGACACUG